AAUAUAUUAAGAUUUCACUUGAAUUGCAAUAAACAACUAGCUAAUUACAAAUAACAUAUAGAACAAAUACAUUAAGAUUCAUAGAACAAAAAUAGAACAAAUAUAUUAAGAUUCUACUUGAAUUGCAAUAAACAAAAAAAAACAGAAAAAUAAAAUAAAUAUACUAAGAUUCAAGGCGGAUAAAGGAUGAAUGGAAAACUUAUCUCGCCGGCAAAAAUCACGCCUGACGCUGGAUUUGCUGCCUGAAAAGGAAAAAAAUUAAUUAUUUGGGGUUAAAAAAAAUCAUAUUUUGUUGCGAGAAAGGAAUGAGCUAGGGAGAGAAGGGGAGAGAGAGAUUCAUAUCACCGGAAAAUUGAUACCCAAACACGGUCGCCGGCGAUGGAGGAGAAAGAGAAGAAAAA
rnacentral:lncRNA from 1 species